rnacentral:rRNA from 1 species
ACGGGUGAGUAACGCGUGGGAAUCUACCGUACCCUACGGAAUAGCUCCGGGAAACUGGAAGUAAUACCGUAUACGCCCGAAAGGGGAAAGAUUUAUCGGGGUAUGAUGAGCCCGCGUUGGAUUAGCUAGUUGGUGGGGUAAAGGCCUACCAAGGCGACGAUCCAUAGCUGGUCUGAGAGGAUGAUCAGCCACAUUGGGACUGAGACACGGCCCAAACUCCUACGGGAGGCAGCAGUGGGGAAUAUUGGACAAUGGGGGCAACCCUGAUCCAGCCAUGCCGCGUGAGUGAUGAAGGUCUUAGGAUUGUAAAGCUCUUUCACCGAUGAAGAUAAUGACGGUAGUCGGAGAAGAAGCCCCGGCAAACUUCGUGCCAGCAGCCGCGGUAAUACGAAGGGGGCUAGCGUUGUUCGGAAUUACUGGGCGUAAAGCGCACGUAGGCGGAUAAUUAAGUCAGGGGUGAAAUCCCGCAGCUCAACUGCGGAACUGCCUUUGAUACUGGUUAUCUUGAGUAUGGAAGAGGUAAGUGGAAUUGCGAGUGUAGAGGUGAAAUUCGUAGA